rnacentral:rRNA from 1 species
CAGUAGCCGCGGGAAUACGGAGGGAGCUAGCGUUGUUUGGAAUUACUGGGCGUAAAGCGCGCGUAGGCGGUUACUCAAGUCAGAGGUGAAAGCCCGGGGCUCAACCCCGGAACUGCCUUUGAAACUAGGUGACUAGAAUCUUGGAGAGGUCAGUGGAAUUCCGAGUGUAGAGGUGGAAUUCGUAGAUAUUCGGAAGAACACCAGUGGCGAAGACGACUGACUGGACAAGUAUUGACGCUGAGGUGCGAAAGCGUGGGGAGCAAACAGGAUUAGAUACCCCUGUAGUCCCUGUCUCUUAUAA